GGUGACCUGCGGAGGGACAUUACACAAAUAUGAAGGCGGGCUGGAACCUCUCGGGGUUACAGCCUUGCUGAAUUAUUCACCCUUGUCUUUUGCGUACUUCUUGUUUCCUUGGUGGGUUCGCCCACCACUAGGACAAACAUAAACCUUUUGUAAUUGCAAUCAGCGUCAGUAACAAAUUAAUAAUUACAACUUUCAACAACGGAUCUCUUGGUUCUGGCAUCGAUGAAGAACGCAGCGAAAUGCGAUAAGUAGUGUGAAUUGCAGAAUUCAGUGAAUCAUCGAAUCUUUGAACGCACAUUGCGCCCUUUGGUAUUCCAAAGGGCAUGCCUGUUCGAGCGUCAUUUGUACCCUCAAGCUUUGCUUGGUGUUGGGCGUCUUGUCUCUAGCUUUGCUGGAGACUCGCCUUAAAGUAAUUGGCAGCCGGCCUACUGGUUUCGGAGCGCAGCACAAGUCGCACUCUCUAUCAGCAAAGGUCUAGCAUCCAUUAAGCCUUUUUUUCAACUUUUGACCUCGGAUCAGGUAGGGAUACCCGCUGAACUUAAGCAUA
rnacentral:rRNA from 1 species